GCAAACUUGGUCAUUUAGAGGAAGUAAAAGUCGUAACAAGGUUUCCGUAGGUGAACCUGCGGAAGGAUCAUUAAAAGUUUAGAAACGGCGGCGUGUCGGACGAGAGUCCGGCAGGCUUGCCCGAUCUUUUCAACCCUCUGUGAACCAUCAACCUUUGUCUAGGUAGCGCCUGGCUUCUGCCAGCGGUAAGGCUGCCAUAGACCCAUUUAAAACUAGUUGUUUGAGAAAUCAUUGCGGUCUGACAUAUCUUAUGAUUAAUUCAUAUUAAAACUUUCAGCAACGGAUCUCUUGGUUCUCGCAUCGAUGAAGAACGCAGC
rnacentral:misc_RNA from 1 species